GUUUCUCCCUCCCUGUCCUCCUCACUGGCCAGUCUCCGAGUCCAGGAGUGACUCACACACGGCAGAGGCCGAUGCAGGGGAGCUGCUGGGACACGGCAGCCGUGGCAGCUGCAAGGGUGCCCACCUCAGCCAGGAUGUGCCCUCUUUCCUGCAGCACUGGCUCUCUGCUUCCCUUUGGGGUCUGUGCCUCCCACCCCAGCUUGGCCCGGCUGUCUGCCUCUCCCCCACUUUGCUGCCCCCAGGCCCAGCUCGGCUCUGUGCUGACUAUCUGUCCAGCGCCUCCCACGUGGCGCCUGGGUCAUUUCCUAGGAGCACAGGCCAGAACGGAUGAUGAUUCCUGAGCUCUGAGUGUCAUCCGGCCCCGGAGGCCGGCAGCCAUCUGCUUUCUAUUCCGAGGUCGAGGACGAGGCGUCCUGUGUCACCCCUGGCCAGCUCAGGGUAGGGGGUUUAUCAAGGCCCCCGUUGUCUUCUGGGGGAGCCAGGAAGGAGAAGGCCUGGCUGUCCCAGGUCGGGGACAAGAGAGAUGUCAGCUAGGGGAGGAGCCCUGGGAGGCAGGAGUGACAGGACAGAAGGUGAUGGCUUGAGGACAGGGAGUUUCCUGCUCUGUGGGCUGGAGCGUAACCUCGUGCCAACCUGUGCGGCUUAGGCUGGCUGUUCCUGGACAAGUCAGGCCUGUAUGCACCCAACGUCCCAGCAGCACCAGCCCCAGACACCUGUCAUCCUGGGACUGGGACUUUGGCGUCCGACACGGCCAAUGACACUGCAGAUGUCACUCGGGGAAGGUCCUGGCGAAACUACCAAGAGCUCCUGUCUUUCUCAUCCUCAUGGCAGUGGCAUUGCCAGGAACCCUGGAUUUUAGCCAUUCUGGGGAAGGGGUGUUGCUUCAGUAUUUGCAUUUCCCUAAUGUAAAACAAUCUUUGUUUGUGACUUGAGUCUUCAAGGGUUUGGCUCUUUUAAUCAAACAAUUGUCUUUUCCUUAUUGCUCUGUAGCACCCUACUUCGCCUGUGAGUCCAGGUGUAGGCGUUUCCGAUGUCUGUCCCACGUGCAGCUUACUGUUUUGUUUUAUUAAAUUGUAUCUUUUGAGGACAGAAGGUUCUGAUUGUGGUCAAGUCCAACUGAUCAAUCAGUCUUUUCCCUCUUGGUUGGUGUUUCUUUGUGUCCUCUCUGAGACACCUUUGUCUGGCCCUUGGUUUUUAAGGCCCAUGUCUCACCCCAGGGUGAGUUACUGGCAUCGCCCUUCCUGCCAUCGUGCCCUGGAGAGCUCAGUGCCCUGACUUCCGGAGAGAAAAGCCUGUCUGGUGAGCCCUGCAAGAGAGGCAGGGUUUGUGGAGCUGGGCCACGGGCGAGAUUCCCACUUCCACAGGGAAGCAAGGCCACUGGGAUGGAGACAGCUUUGCAAGGG
rnacentral:lncRNA from 1 species